rnacentral:tRNA from 1 species
GACCGUGGUGCCUAAUGGAUAAGGUGUUGGACUUCUAUCAGGAUGGUGACAUCCGAAAAGGGCGGGUUCGAGUCCCGCCUCGGUUA